rnacentral:rRNA from 1 species
UACGGAGGAUGCAAGCGUUAUCCGGAAUGAUUGGGCGUAAAGCGUCCGCAGGUGGCUGUGUAAGUCUGUCGUGAAAGCCCCGGGCUCAACCUGGGAAUGGCGAUGGAUACUGGCUCGCUAGAGUGCGGUAGAGGAGAGUGGAAUUCCCGGUGUAGCAGUGAAAUGCGUAGAGAUCGGGAGGAACAUCAGUUGCGAAGGCGGCUCUCUGGACCAGCACUGACACUGAGGCACGAAAGCGUGGGGAGCAAACAGG